rnacentral:lncRNA from 1 species
UCUUUUGAAAAAUUUCCUCCUAUUUUUUUUCCUUCGAGAAAUAGGAGAAGGCAACAGUCUACUUCUCCUACUUCUCCCACUUUGAAAAAUGUACAAAAAAAAAGAGAGAGAAAGAAAUAACUGCACAACUAAAGGGAGUAGAAGAUACCUUAAUGAAAAAGUUAGAUAAAUAGAAAAUAUUCUUAUACAAAGGGUGAUCUACAAUAAUAAUAUGAUUUGGGGCUUGCAAACUUCACACACAGAGUGAUUGCGCAAUGAAAUUAUGAUGAGUCAACAUUCUUUAAUUUUCUAGACCCAUCAACUUUUCCAAUAUCAAGAUGGUACUCACCAGAAGAAUCGACUCAAAUGGAGCUUCUGGAAGAGCAACCACACCUGCUGUGGACGCUGACAAUUUUUGAUUGGGUUAAUUUAAAUUUGAUAAAUAUGAUCACUGUGACGACAUGAUAUCUAAUUGGUUAGAUUUAAAUAAUGUCGUUACAAUAUCAUAUUUCUUGACCACACCAAUCUUAUGAGGAAUAACAAUUAGGAAAUCAAGACCAGAAUGCGAUGAGCGAAAGGGCAGAGAGAAGUGAAAGAAAAAAAAUACAAAGAAAGAAAGAUAAGAAAACUCCUCGAAUAAUGUCAAUGAAGCAUCACUUAAAAUUUUUGAGGUAGGCCAAUCGAGUAUGAUGCAUCCAACAGAAUAAGAGGAGAAUUUUAUUGAUGAUACUCAAGACGGAGAGGGAUCUUUGGGAGGGGCCAACAAUAUAUAUGAGGUUGUAUUUAUUCCGGAGGAUGAAACAUUUAAAUUGGAGAAAAAUUUAUAGCUGGUAACUUUCAUUACUCUUUUGUUUUGUUGAUAGUGUAUAUAUGGUUGAAAGUUACCUCUUUUUUAUAAGAAUUAGUAAAAUCUUUUAAUUACCUCUUUUGAACUAGUAUUUGAAGAAACUAUUGGUGUAGAAAAGCUUUCUGAUGAUCUUUUGCUGAAAAAAUGCAAUGCAAAAUAUUCUUUUAUUAAAUAUCGAAAUACUUUAUUACUACCAUUAAAGUUACCCCAAGAAACUUGUGCACAGAUAAGGUUAGGUGCUAACUCUGCUUUUAUUGAUAUUAAUUUAUUUAUCUUAUUUACUUGCAUCUGGAUUCUUAACAUAUGAGAAGGAAGACUCAUAGCACAAACUAAGCAAGCAAAAGUAAUUAAAAGUCAAUAAAUAAUUUUCACUUGAAUUUUCUUGAGAAAAUUGAAGAAAAGGUUUCUUUUAAAUCUUGAAUGAAGGAUUAGUGACAUUGACCAACUUAAAGGGUCAAACAAUAUUAGGAAACUUGAUUAAGUUAAUUAUGGACUUGAUUAAUAUUUUCAAAACUUUCUAAUCUUUUCAAAAAUACAAAUCAACUCAUACACCUCUUCAAGCCAAAUCAACCAGUCUCUCUCCUCUCUCUCUCUCUCAACAGCAUCUCUCAACUCUCUCUCAACCAACAAUUCUGCAAAAUUAUCUCUUCAAUCCCCGAAGACUUCAACCUCUGGUGAAAAAUAGUCGGGCGAGUUUUCUUUUAACUUUUAACUGUCAAUCAAAAAUAGAGGAACUUGAGCCAACUACUCUUCUAGUAUUGAAAUGUGGACUGAAUAAAACUCUAAUUUCUAGCAUUUCUUCUUGUUGUUUCAUACUGUUGAUUCAAAUUUGUUGGUGAUUUUUGUUUGUAGUUGAUUUUUGUAGUGGAGACCCCUUCUUAGUGUAUGUGUGUAUGAUGUUUUGGUGUUGCUGGGUUGAUUUGUUGUUUAUCUUGGUAAAAAUGGUAUUGCAAUAGAUAAAACAUAUGAUGCAACAGAUUAAGACAUCUGAUGCAACAGAUGAAAAUAUCUAAUACAGCAGAUAAAAAUAUCUAAUGCAAUAGAUUAAAAUCUGAUAUAACUAUGAAAAUCUGAUGCAACAGAUAAACAAUCUAACAGAUCAUUCGUCUGUUGCAAUAGAAGACUCUUCUAUUUGGAAGAAAUCUAAACAAUAUUGAUCCAAUAGAUAACUCAUUUUGCAACAGAUGAGUGAUAUGUUUCAACAGAUCAGUGAUCUGUUUUUAUGGUUUCCAACAGAUUACUCAUCCAUUGCAACAGGUUGAUUAUAUAUUGCAAUAGAUAACUACCUGGUCCAACAAAUUAGUGAUCUAUUUUUAUUAUUUUCAACGGUUUACUUAUCCGUUGCAACAGGUCGGUUAUAUGUUGCAAUAGAUAACAUACCUGGUGCAAUAAACGUGUGAUCUAUUUUUACUGUUUCCAAUGGAUUACUCUUCCAUUGCAAUAGGUUGGUUAUAUAUUGCAACAAAUUAGUGAUCUAUUUUUAUUGUUUCCAAUAAUUUACUCAUUCAUUGCAACAGGUUAGUUAUAUAUUACAACAGAUACCAUACUAAGUACAGCAGGUGUGUGAUCUAUUUUGGAUUACUCAUCCGUUGCAACAGUUUGGUUAUAUGUUGUAACAGAUAAACUACCUGGUGCAACAGAUUAGUGAUCUAUUUUUACUGUUUCCAACGGAUUACUCAUCUUUGCAACAGGUUGGUUAGAUGUUGCAACAGUUAAACUACCUGGUGCAACAGAUUAGAGAUCUAUUUUUAUUAUUUCCAACAGUUUACUCAUCCAUUGCAACAGGUCGAUUAUAUAUUACAACAGACAACAUACC